rnacentral:rRNA from 1 species
GAGCCUAAAAUCUAGCCUAAAAUUCCGCAUGUCCCCAACUCAAUUUAUUAAAAAAUAAAACAUUUUAUUUUUAUAGUAGAGGUGAUCGAAAUAACACUUAGCGCUUAAGAUAUAGUACCGCAAGGGAAAACUGAAAUAAAAUGAAAACCCCCAAGCUAAAAAUAGCAGAGAUUCCAACUCGUACCUUUUGCAUCAUGGUCUAGUUAGUCUAACCAAGCAAAACGAAAUUUUAGUUUGUCCCCCCGAAACUAAGCGAGCUACUUCAAAACAGCUUAAAGAGCUAACCCGUCUCUGUAACAAUAGAGUGGGAAGAUUUUCAAGUAGAAGUGAUAAACCUAUCGAGCUUAGAGAUAGCUGGUCAUUCAACAAAAGAAUAGUAGUUCUGCCUUAAACCUCCCCUGCUACCAUACAACAAAAGAUUUAAGAGUUAUUCAAAUAAGGCACAGCUUAUUUGAAAAAGGAUACAACCUCCAUUACAGGGUAAACACCAAUCUCUCCGCCAAGUGGGCCUAAAAGCAGCCACCUCAAAAAGCGUUACAGCUUAACCUAGCACAAAUAAAAUUUUAUUAAAAACCAUUAACCCUUCCACAUUWMUGAAUGAUUCUAUAAUAAUAUAGAAAACAUAAUGCUAGAACUAGUAACAAGAAUUUUGAUUCUCCAAAAUGUAAGUAUCCACCAAACACCCUGGUAAUUAACGAAUAUGAGCCCACUGCAACAACCACCAAGAAAACUCUGCAUAACCCUUCGUCAACCUAACACUAGAACAUUCCUGGAAAGAUUUAAAGGGAAAGAAGGAACUCGGCAAAUUUCGACCCCGCCUGUUUACCAAAAACAUCGCCUCUUGAUUAACAAUAAGAGGUCCAGCCUGCCCAGUGACAAUUCAACGGCCACGGUACCCUAACCGUGCAAAGGUAGCAUAAUCACUUGUUCUUUAAAUAAGGACUAGUAUCAACGGCAUCACGAGGGUCACACUGUCUCCUUCCCCUAAUCAGUGAAACUGAUCUCCCCGUGAAGAAGCGGGAAUAAACCUAUAAGACGAGAAGACCCCAUGGAGCUUUAAACUUUCAGCAACUAAACCACACACCCCCUUAUAUUAUAAAAUUAUGCUUAACAGUCUUAGAUUGGGGCGAUCGCGGAGUAAAAAUCAACCUCCAUGACGAAAAGAACUAAAUCUUUAUCCAAGAUCCACUACUCUAAGAAUUAGAACACUAACGCUCAUGACCCGAUAAACGAUCAACGAACCAAGUUACCCUGGGGAUAACAGCGCAAUCUACUUCAAGAGCUCAUAUCGACAAGUAGGUUUACGACCUCGAUGUUGGAUCAGGGCAUCCUAGUGGUGCAGUCGCUACUAACGGUUCG